UUCUGUUGUGACAUUUAGUUCCAGUUAUUUUUCUGCACAAUUAUGUCUAUGGUAGAUCUUUUACCCUAGUCUUUAUUACUAAAAUCAGAUUUGCAGCCAAUGGACAAAAAUUAAUAUUAUUUAAUUGGCCAUCUUAUGUUUCCACAUUUUUUAAUUUUCAUUCUUUUAACCAAGUCUUAGUUCACCAGGAAAGAAUUCUAGGAUCAUUUUUUUAGAUUUACUGGUAAUAUACUAAAUUAUCAGUAAGAAUAUCAGAUGUAGACUGCAUAUAAUAGAAAAUGUGAUUAUUUUGACAUUCACGCCAGUUAACUUUCUGGGUAAUGUAUGCUCUUCCUUCUCUCUCCUCUCUCUCUCUCUGAUUAACAGCCAUUUUACUGGUUCACCCAGGUUGGCUGGUUGUCCUGCAUAUCUUGAGGGUAUUGGAGUAUACAUUUUUACUGCUCUGUAAAUUACUUUUAACAGCCAAAGAAGAAAAAUAAUUUUUAAAACAUUUACUUUUUAUACAUUUAAAAGUUAGCGUUCUUUUUAUUAUAAUUUAAAUUCUGCAGUAGAAGUCAAUUUAUCUAUGCUAUAUCAGAGUUCCAUAUAAUAUGCACUAUGUCAUGGAACAUAUUUUGUCAAGUGCAAUGUUUUCAUAGUUAAUCACUUCUAUGCUGUUUAUAUAUGGGAAUAAUAACAGAUAUUUAAGAAAAAUAUUAACAGUUUUGAUUCUAGUUAAUUUGGAUGUAUGUACAUAUAGUUUUCUUUGCAGUUUGUCAUGUAUUACUAUGAUGUUCUUGUCAAUAGGUAGAUUCUUUAUGCCGGGAACACAUGUAAAAUAAUUAUAGACUCCAAAAAUCUAAAGGUAUUUAUUCCACAAUUUAUAUUCUGUUAAAAAAUAACUUUUUUCAUUAUAAUUUACUACUCUGUUAAUUUUUCAUCCUUAGCAUAAUUUUUGGGAACCUCUGGAAAGAAAAAUAUGCAAGGACCAUUGAUUUAUGUAGUGUUUAUUUUGAAGCAUAUUUUUAACACCUUUUUACCAAUUAAACUUUAAUAAAAAGGCGCAUUAGUAAUUGAAGAAAAGGAGCUGCUUAAAGGUGUUAUCCUUUUAAUUAGGUGGCACAUUAUUUGGUUAAUUGUACAAGUCCUUCUAUUUAUUUCAGAAAGACAAAACAAAGGAUGGCCGUAUUAAUUUGAAAGCUUGUUAAAUAGGUGUGUGCUUGUGUGUGUGUGUGUGCCCAAUCACCUGCAGGUUAGAUAGAGUGGCAGCUCUAAAUUAGUCUGGUGGGAGCAAGAGUGUGCUAGGAUAGACUGGCAUCCCAUUCUUAUUUGGAUCUUGAUUUUCUCCCAGAACUCCUGGCAAAAGUGUAAUUAACAGAGAGGAGCAUUUUUUCCCGUUUAUUUCCUAAUAAUUCUUUGCAAACCCUGCCUAUUGAUUCUUUAAAAUAAAUUAACUGCAUACAUAUACCUACUGUUUUCUUAUGUGCAGAGGGUGUCAUUUGUAUGUGGAAGCUAGUUUGCUGUUACCAGGAACACACUUUUCUAUGACAUAUAUAUCAUUGUAACAAAGGAGAUCAACCGUAAUGUGAAUAUCAAUAUAAUAUUAAGCAUGCUGUAAGAAAUAUAAAUUUUGAAGUUUAACUUUUCUUACUGUCCCAGGCAUACGUAAUGCUAGAAAACUGGUGAAGUGCAUAUAUACUGACAACACAGAGAAAAGUUGAGAAAUUCACAAUUUUUAAUAAGCAUUUGUGGGCCUUCAAAAUUGUAAUGGGCAAGGCUAAAGGCUUAAGUGUGUAUAUUUGACAACUGCUGAUAUUUUAAAUGAGAUAUUUAUAAGCAGAUUUUAUAAUUAUUGUUCUUCUAAUAGCUUCUGAAGACAAAAUGAUGGUUUCCGAAUUUAGAUUUGUAAUGACAAUGGACAUUCUGUGAAAGAAAAAUGUUCCUGUAGAAAUGUAAUGAAAAUCUACAGCACUGUGGUUAGUACUACAGCAUAAUAUCUCUGUAUUCCUGGGAUCAAGUCCAUUCCCAAACACUGUGUGAUACUUAUAUGCUUAGCCCAUGUGCACAUGGGUUAUCUGCCACGACUCCUGCUUCCCCAAGCAGUACAGAUUACGUCUGCUGGAAAGUGUGCCCUAUGAUGGGUUGGCAUACUGUACACGGUUGGCUGUUGCUGCAGUUGACGAUCACCACCCAUUACCCUCUUUUGGACAAAGGUUAUAGUGUUGUAUUUUUCACUCACAAGUUUGCAAAAGUCCUGAAGAUAUGACUCAAAAUUACUGUAGUUAGAGGUCAGAUAUUUACAUACUUUUGAUUAAACUAAGUGGUCUACCAUGAAAUUAAAAUUAAGUACUAUCAGUCUUAAUUUUUGUGAAUAUUGUGCUUAUUUUUCAUAUUUAAAUUGUGCUGUUUAAAGGCAGUGUUCUUGGAUUUGGCAGGCUACAAAAAGCUCACCUGAAAUUAUUUUAUCGUUGUUAGUUUUAGUUGAUGUAUUUCUUUUGUUUUCAUUUUACUUUAUCAAACUAUACUGUAUUUAUAUGUGUGUGUUUUGCUCCAUUUCUACGGUUUUCAGUUAAUAGAAUAUGUCCUAUUCAUUAAUAACUUUUGCAGAUCUUUUCUUUGAAAGUAUAUGGUGGCAUACAGCUUGUGACAGUGGACAUUGAAUAUUCUUAGUUGUUGACCAUUGCCAGAGUCAAAAUGAAAGUGUGUUUAUGUUCAUCUGAAACAUAGUUGAGAGGAUUCACCGGCUUUUUACUAUUUUAGUGUAGUAGUGAAAGUGCAAAAAUCACAUAAUAAAACAAAGAUUGGAUGUGUUCUUUCUGGACUUUCUAUAAAUUGAACUUUUUUCUAUUAUAUUCCUUGACAUUGAAUCCAGAAUUAUCAUUCUUAGACACAUGCUCAUAGUGUCAAGAGAAUUUUUAUAAGUCUUCCAAUAGCUUCCAAUCAGUUGUUGUAUCAAGAAACUUUGUGGCAUGUUGCCCUCUUCUUUUUCCUUUUAUAUGGUACAUCAGGUUACUAAGCUUAUGUAUGUUUUCAUCUCCUGUUUUUAAGUUCACCAAGUUAUAACCUGUGUUUUAAGAGAAUUCGUCCACAUGGAUUUUAGCGUCAAGGUCACUGUCUCAACUCAUGUCAUAUUAGGCUUGUAGACUUGGUAUUUUGCUGAUAAUCUGUAUGUGAAAUUUCUGAUUAACCUGCCUAAGACAAAAACAUUCUAAUUUUAAGUUAGACUGCACUCAUUCUAUUUUGUUUUACAAAAUGUUCAGCAGAAAACAAAUUUCAGGCUUCAGAAGUAUUAAAUGAAGGCACUGAAGUAAGCAGUGCAUCUGAAAAUAAAGAAACAGUCCAGUGAAGUGUUUCAGUUUUCUUUUGUCCACAUUAUAUAAACAGGAUUUGCCAUGGUCAAAAGACUAAUAGACCUCGACAUCUGAAAAAGACUGAGGUUUUAGCACUGGCCUUGCUGUAAAUGUUACUGAAUGAAAUCAAGUCUAGCUGAAUAGCUGUUGUUAAAUGUCUGUGCCAUAAUUAAAAUAGUAUCUUUUAGGUCAGCCAUUGUCUUUAGAAGUCUCAAAUAUGAGAUAUCCGAUAUCCUGCAGUGCAUUCCACAUUUGUAGCUGACGCAAAAACUAGUCAUACAAAUUUGUUUCUCAUAAAUAGCAUUGCCACAAGGCCAUCUUGAACAUGUCACGCUCUCUUGUGAUGUGAAGCUACAGGUGUGUGGAGUAAAUAACUUCAAACAAUAUGGGUGGAGGUUGCAGACAGGAAUCUCUUGUCCUUUGGGCAAGUCCUUGAGAUACUGGAGAUGUGCGGAUUUUAGGACAUGCAGUUUCAGUGGUCUGCACACUGACUAGGGAUGACCAUGACUGUAUCCUUCAUGUACUUCUAAAGAAAAUGCAGUAAGCUGAGCUUUGAGGCUGAGUAAGAAACCAAAGUGGGUUUGGGGCUAUUUUAUUUUUAAAAUGUUCUAGAAGACUAUGCUUUCAUAGUAAGCGCAGACCGGCUAGACAAGGGGUGUAGUUCAUGGGUGAAAAGUGAACACCCAGGAUAGUGGGUUUUGAUUAGUAUAUAUUUGAAUAAAGCCAAUGGCAGUAACCUUUUCACACAGAAACGUGCAGCUCUUUGUGGUGAAUCCAUAGAUAAAUAAAAUCAAACAGAAACUUACAUGCUCCUGUUCUGAGGCUUUUCGUCCUAAACAGAGCUUUGUGCAGGACCAAAUAGCAAUUGAAAGUGAACCCUUAGGGAAUUUGCUUAUCUUUCAUAUUUUUAUAAAAAAAUAAACUUUUAUUUUAGUGGAUCAAAGUUGACCAUGUAUAUGGAUUAAUGUUGAUUAUCCUAUUCUGAGUAAAAGUCAAUUUUAACUUUGUGAAUGAAAUUUCAGCAACCAUUUUUUAAUUGUCAUAAAGUUUAAGUCAUUUGUGUUUGGAUUUCACAGCCUGCACUGUUCAAACCAUGUAUACGAAUAACAGAACAAACAUCAUUAAAACAAGUAAAAAAAAAAGUUUUAUUUUCAAAAAGACUGUUGCUGCGAUUGUUAGAGAUUAACCUGGUCAUUUAUUAGUACAAGUGUACUUUUGUGAAGUGUAUCAGAUUAAAGAUUGUAUAUGCUAUUUAUUGUAUGUAUGUACAUAGCGCCUGAUGUUUAUUCAGAUUUAAAAGUGAAUUCAGUCCUUCCAGGUUCACCUGAUGCAGGCUGGUUAUUUGUGUUUUAGCCUUGUGCACUGGACUCUACCUCUCAAUAGAGUGUUUUUACCUUUUUUUUGGUAUUUUAUUUUUUUGAUUCUAUGAAUUAGUUGAACUUAAAACAUUUUAUGUCAGAUUACUAUUGGUUGUUUCUAGUGCUAAACAAAACAAACUGCUGUAAAUGUGGAUUCCUUAGUUUAAUUUAAAGCAAUUUGUGUUAUGCAGAUGGUUUAUGCUCCUCUUUUAAGGGAGUAAACACAACAGUACUUAGCCUUUAUUCAUGUUCUCAGUUUGCCAAAUACACAGCAGUAUAUGUAUUGGAUAUUAUAUUAUUAGUUGACUGUAUUUUGUUUUACAAAGUGAUCCUUCUGCCAUAUCAUUUGGACUAGAGACUGAUUAGAAGCAUGAUGCCUCAGUUUUUAGUUUUUAUUUUGACUAGUAAGUUCAUUUCAUGAAAAAUGUUCAGAAAUUUUAAAAAUAACAACAAUAAAAAAAUUUAAACUUGCAAUAAAAAUAUCUCUUAUCUAAA